GACGAACGCUGGCGGCGUGCUUAACACAUGCAAGUCGAACGGAAAGGCCCCUUUGGGGGUACUCGAGUGGCGAACGGGUGAGUAACACGUGAGUAACCUGCCCUUGACUUCGGGAUAACUUCAGGAAACUGGGGCUAAUACCGGAUAGGAAUCCUUGCUGCAUGGUGGGGGUUGGAAAGCUUCGGCGGUUUUGGAUGGACUCGCGGCUUAUCAGCUUGUUGGUGGGGUAGUGGCUUACCAAGGCUUUGACGGGUAGCCGGCCUGAGAGGGCGACCGGCCACAUUGGGACUGAGAUACGGCCCAGACUCCUACGGGAGGCAGCAGUGGGGAAUAUUGCACAAUGGGCGGAAGCCUGAUGCAGCAACGCCGCGUUCGGGAUGACGGCCUUCGGGUUGUAAACCGCUUUCAGCAGGGGCGAAGCUUGUGGUGACGGUACCUGCAGAAGAAGCACCGGCUAACUACGUG
rnacentral:rRNA from 1 species